rnacentral:misc_RNA from 1 species
GAUGAAGAACGUAGCGAAAUGCGAUAAGUAGUGUGAAUUGCAGAAUUCAGUGAAUCAUCGAAUCUUUGAACGCACAUUGCGCCCGCUAGUAUUCUGGCGGGCAUGCCUGUUCGAGCGUCAUUUCAACCAUCAAGCCCUAGGCUUGCGUUGGAGCCCUGCGGCUGCCGCAGGCUCCCAAAUCCAGUGGCGGGCUCGUCGUCGUACCGAGUGCAGUAAACAUCCUCGCUCAGGGAACGUGACGGGUUCUUGCCGUGAAACCCCCCACAUAUCAAGGUUGACCUCGGAUCAGGUAGGAAUACCCGCUGAACUUAAGCAUAUCAAUAAGCGGAGGA